UACGGAGGGAGCUAGCGUUGUUCGGAAUUACUGGGCGUAAAGGGCUCGUAGGCGGCCAACUAAGUCGGAUGUGAAAUCCCCAGGCUUAACCUGGGAACUGCAUCCGAUACUGGAUGGCUUGAAUUCGGGAGAGGGAUGCAGAAUUCCAGGUGUAGCGGUGAAAUGCGUAGAUAUCUGGAGGAAUACCGGUGGCGAAGGCGGCAUCCUGGACCGACAUUGACGCUGAGGAGCGAAAGCUAGGGGAGCAAACGGG
rnacentral:rRNA from 1 species